GGCAUUAUCAUUGGUGUUUUUAUUUUCUUUUUAACUUUUUUAAAAAUUUUUUCUUAUAAUUACACUAUAUUUUUCACAAAGCACGAACUUGUUUCAUGUGCCAGAACGAGUUAUUUACAGUCACGACAGUUACGUUAUUGACAGAAAGCCUCUUUUGACUAUUUUUUCUUCUAUCCUGCUGUUUAAUUUUUUUCCCUCCUUUUGUGGGCCCAAAGUGCACUGAGCACCGAACCGACACACUUCCUCAAGGAGAAAUUCAGUGCCGUUUUACAGCUCUUGUCCGGUGUUCUGCACUGUCAAUGAUCAAUAACAAGAUGCUGAACACCACUCUAUUUACUCAAUCAACAGCCAGCAGGUUGUAUUUUUAUUUUCAGUCCUUUUUAUUAAGAGGUUCUCCCUUUCUGAGAGCCCAUCGGCAUCGUGGGACAACGCGUAACGUCGUUGGUCUGAGAUAAUCGAGCGGGAGGAGACCGCAGAGCGCGCGACCCGCUGGUGUGCGCGCGCCUGGUAGCAAGCGAGGCAGCGUUCGGUGAUGGCAGUUGACUCUUGCAACAGCACGAAUCAGUUAAGGGUUUCGAGGCAGUUUGGCAGCUUUAAACUCUUAACAAAUACCGCCUGCUGCGAUUUUAGGUGUCUGUACUUUUUCGAAAGAAAUCGAGUCAUGCUUGUUUGCGCGGCGCUGCUGUUUCCGGUGGUAGCGCUCGCGGCCGCAGCGCGUGGCGCUCUCGUUCGGAGACUAGAUGCCGCGGAGGGGUCGGGGACAGCGCUCCCAGAGAAAAUAGAUCUACUGGAGUUCUUCUCCUGGCAAGCAGCAAACAGCGACACCGUGUCUCUCUCCACUGGGCCUGAUGAAUGUAUGAAUCUGCACAUCGGCCAUUAUGCCACCCUUGCUCUGCCCACUUACCAGGCAUUUGGAACCAGUUUUGCAGAUGAGUUCAGUGUGUUGAUGCAGCUGCGCAGCUCCCAGCAGGAGGACCGCAGCUUGCUGACUGUGCUGAGUCCUCAAGGUCACAUUCUGCUUCAGCCAACAGGACAAAACGGAUGUACUACCGCCUUUUUCCACACAUUUGAGCCACGGUUUACUGUUUGA
rnacentral:lncRNA from 1 species